CGCGUAGGCGGCAAUUCAAGUCAGCUGUGAAAUCUCCGAGCUUAACUCGGAACUGUCAGCUGAUACUGCUUUGCUUGAGUGCGGAAGGGGCAAUCGGAAUUCUUGGUGUAGCGGUGAAAUGCGUAGAUAUCAAGAGGAACACCUGAGGUGAAGACGGGUUGCUGGGCCGACACUGACGCUGACAGCGCGAAAGCCAGGGGAGCAAACG
rnacentral:rRNA from 1 species